GGAAGCAAAGCACAGAAACCGCCAGAGGGGCUGCAGCUCCAUGCUUGCCUUAUCUGAACACGGUUGGAAUGGCCGGCACCCUUGAUGAGCGGAAACCUGGGUGUUGCUCUGUCACCCAGGCUGGAGUGCAGUGGUGCCAUCAUAGCUCACUGCAAUUGUUACAGGAGAGGGGUCCUGAUCCAGACCCCAAGAGAGGGUUCUUGGAUUUGGAUCCUGUGCAAGAAAGAAUUCAGGUGACUUAGAAUGCCUGACCAUGUGGGAAUGCAGCCCAGUAGGACUCAGUCUCAUUUUACCCAGCCCCUGUUCAAGAUGGAGUCGCUCUGGUUCACACGCCUCAGACACAGCCUCUGCCUCCCGCCUCAGCCUCCUAAGCAGCUGGGACUACAGUGCAUACCUGAUUUUCUCGACCUCUUUUAUGAAAUAUCCCCGCCAGACUCCCUCGACCGUGCCACCCCCAGGUUCCCGUGCAUACACAACAUUGCGGGAUAGGUAUUGUGGAAUGAGGAUCCGUGUUACGACCUACAGAAGAUGUGGCUGUGAAGUCAGGAGUCACGGUCUCAGAGUUGACUGCACUGCCUCGUAGCUGUGUGACCUUCAGGAUUUUGUUCAACCCCCUCUGAGCUUCAGUUUGCUCUCUGGGAAGACUCCAAGGAUAAGAGCAUCUACCUCCUCAGCCUGCUGUGAGAGUUAACAGGGCCAGGGCCAAAGACGCUUUGUCUGACUGCUGGUCUGCGGGGAGCUCUAAAUAUGAAUCUGCUACAUCACCUUCACUUUUGAAUUCGGCUCUGAUGUUCCAAAUGUUCUUGGCCGUUCCUUCGUGUUUCUCCUGUACGAAUUUCAGCUUCUUUUUGCCAAGUAUCUCCCCACCCCCGCCCACCCCCACCCCCAAAUAAACUCACUAGAAUGUUGGCUGAAAAUCUGAUAAGGCUACACAUUGAUUUGGAAAGAAAUGAUUUUUUGUGAGAGUCAAACUCCCUACCCAUUUUUUUUCUUUUGUUUUUUCAAAAGUUUUUUUCUUACAUUUGUCAUUCAAGUUUGUCAUUUUCUUGCUACAGAUUCCAAACACUUUUCAAGAGGACCGUCGCUAAGUACUUUAUACUCUUGUUUGGGUUUUUUUAGAGUAAAAAAUGUUCAAAUUCUACUUUAUCUUCUAGCUGGUGGUUGUUGGAAGAUAAUUUUAAAAACUGAUUUAAAAUAUGUAUUUUGCAUCUG
ensembl:lncRNA LINC01150 long intergenic non-protein coding RNA 1150